rnacentral:rRNA from 1 species
UGGGGAAUCUUGCGCAAUGGGCGAAAGCCUGACGCAGCAACGCCGCGUGCGGGAUGACGGCCUUCGGGUUGUAAACCGCUUUCAGCAGGGACGAAAUUGACGGUACCUGCAGAAGAAGCCCCGGCCAACUACGUGCCAGCAGCCGCGGUAAUACGUAGGGGGCGAGCGUUGUCCGGAUUCAUUGGGCGUAAAGCGCUUUAAGGCGGUUCGCUAAGUCGCGUGUGAAACCUCCAGGCUCAACCUGGAGACGCCACGCGAUACUGGCGUGACUAGAGUUCGGUAGGGGAUCACGGAAUUCCUGGUGUAGCGGUGAAAUGCGCAGAUAUCAGGAGGAACACCGGUGGCGAAGGCGGUGAUCUGGGCCGACACUGACGCUGUAGAGCGAAAGCGUGGGGAGCGAACAGGAUUAGAUACCCUGGUAGUCCACGCCGUAAACGUUGGGCACUAGGUGUGGGGGAUUAUCAACGUCCUCCGUGCCGUAGCUAACGCAUUAAGUGCCCCGCCUGGGGAGUACGGCCGCAAGGCUAA